AAUAUUCCACAAUGGAGGGAACUCUGAUGCAGCAACGCCGCGUGAGUGAAGAAGGUUUUCCGAUCGUACAACUCUGUCAUUGGGGAAGAAAAAAUGACGGUACCCACUGAGGAAGCCUCGGCUAACGACGUGCCAGCAGCCGCGGUAAUACGUAGGGGGCGAGCGUUGUCCGGAAUUACUGGGCGUAAAGGGUACGUAGGCGGCUAUAUAAGUCAGGUGUGAAAUACCAGUGCUUAAAACUGGAAUUGCAUUUGAAACUGUGUAGCUUGAGUGCAGGAGAGGAAAGUGGAAUUCCUAGUGUAGCGGUGAAAUGCGUAGGAAUUAGGAGGAACACCAGUGGCGAAGGCGACUUUCUGGACUGUAACUGACGCUGAGGUACGAAAGCGUGGGUAGCGAACA
rnacentral:rRNA from 1 species